rnacentral:misc_RNA from 1 species
UUUCCGUAGGUGAACCUGCGGAAGGAUCAUUAGCGAAGCUCGGAAUGCAUGUUCGGUCUGAUGCUGCCCAGCAAUGGGACGUGCUCGGCUGGAUGUGUGUCCCUUCUCUAUUCCACCCCUUUGUGAACCAAGUGUGCGAGCCGAAGAGAGAUCGGAGGCUCGCAUGCAACCCUUAACAUACCCCAAUGAAGCAUCAGAAUGUACCUUGCGUUAACUCGCACAAAUAUAACUUUCAACAACGGAUCUCUUGGCUCUC